UACGAAGGGGGCGAGCGUUGUUCGGAUUUACUGGGCGUAAAGGGCGCGUAGGCGGCGGGUCAAGUCGAGUGUGAAAGCCCCGGGCUCAACCUGGGAAUUGCGCUCGAGACUGGUCUGCUUGAGUUCGGGAGAGGAGAGUGGAAUUCCCAGUGUAGAGGUGAAAUUCGUAGAUAUUGGGAAGAACACCGGUGGCGAAGGCGGCUCUCUGGACCGAGACUGACGCUGAGGAGCGAAAGCCAGGGGAGCAAACGGG
rnacentral:rRNA from 1 species